GGUGAUAUGAUGUGAGUUUUUGCUACUUUGUGAUUUCCCGAUAUCAAGCAGUCACCUCGUAAGUCGCAACCAUUCUUCUUUUAGACAAACCUUUGCGAUUCCAAGUCUCAGUAUCGGUCUGCCGGAAAUUGUUCGAGUUGCUCGGAAUUUCUCUGCUAUGAUCAGAGUUGAGGGCCCGCCAUGAGAGUAUAAUCUCAUGACCAAGUUCCAGCUUUGACAUGGCAUUGGAGGAGGGAACCAGUAAGUGAAAAUGAAUGUUGCGGACUAGAACAGUGCAAGGAGAUGCUACAGGAAUCCCUGUAACUGGGAAUAAGGAAUAGUGGAAGUCUUCUUC
rnacentral:lncRNA from 1 species